AACGAACGCUGGCGGCAGGCUUAACACAUGCAAGUCGAGCGCCCCGCAAGGGGAGCGGCAGACGGGUGAGUAACGCGUGGGAAUCUACCCAUCUCUACGGAAUAACGCAUGGAAACGUGUGCUAAUACCGUAUACGUCCUUCGGGAGAAAGAUUUAUCGGAGAUGGAUGAGCCCGCGUUGGAUUAGCUAGUUGGUGGGGUAAAGGCCUACCAAGCCGACGAUCCAUGGCUGGUCUGAGAGGAUGAUCAGCCCCCCUGGGACUGAGACACGGCCCCGCUUCCUACGGGAGGCAGCGGUGGGGAAUAUUGGACAAUGGGCGCAAGCCUGAUCCAGCCAUGCCGCGUGAGUGAUGAAGGCCCUAGGGUUGUAAAGCUCUUUCACCGGUGAAGACAAUGGCGGUAGCCGGAGAAGAAGCCCCGGCUAACUUCGUGCCUGACGCCGCGGUAAUAC
rnacentral:rRNA from 1 species